rnacentral:rRNA from 1 species
GUGGGGAAUAUUGGACAAUGGGCGCAAGCCUGAUCCAGCCAUGCCGCGUGAGUGAUGAAGGCCUUAGGGUUGUAAAGCUCUUUUGUCCGGGAAGAUAAUGACUGUACCGGAAGAAUAAGCCCCGGCUAACUUCGUGCCAGCAGCCGCGGUAAUACGAAGGGGGCUAGCGUUGUUCGGAAUCACUGGGCGUAAAGCGCACGUAGGCGGACCAUUAAGUCAGGGGUGAAAGCCUGGAGCUCAACUCCAGAACUGCCUUUGAUACUGAUGGUCUCGAGUAUGGAAGAGGUUGGUGGAACUGCGAGUGUAGAGGUGAAAUUCGUAGAUAUUCGCAAGAACACCGGUGGCGAAGGCGGCCAACUGGUCCAUUACUGACGCUGAGGUGCGAAAGCGUGGGGAGCAAACAGGAUUAGAUACCCCGGUAGUCC